GGUAUGGCUGUUCGCCAUUUAAAGUGGUACGCGAGCUGGGUUUAGAACGUCGUGAGACAGUUCGGUCCCUAUCUGCCGUGGGCGCUGGAGAACUGAGGGGGGCUGCUCCUAGUACGAGAGGACCGGAGUGGACGCAUCACUGGUGUUCGGGUUGUCAUGCCAAUGGCACUGCCCGGUAGCUAAAUGCGGAAGAGAUAAGUGCUGAAAGCAUCUAAGCACGAAACUUGCCCCGAGAUGAGUUCUCCCUGACCCUUUAAGGGUCCUGAAGGAACGUUGAAGACGACGACGUUGAUAGGCCGGGUGUGUAAGCGCAGCGAUGCGUUGAGCUAACCGGUACUAAUGAACCGUGAGGCUUAACCUUACAACGCCGAAGCUGUU
rnacentral:rRNA from 1 species